CCCACCACUCCUUUUUCACUCAUCUCUUCAUUCCUUUGGCCAGCUCACUUCCUUACUUCUCUUUCCUUUCUUUUUCUUCUUUUUCAUUUUCGGUAGAACACUCCUCUUCGCUCCUUCAAACUCUCCUGCUAGCACCUCCAUAUCACCAUUUCCACCAUCAUUUUUCCGGCAAGAUCACCAGAAAAUUGUUGUGAACCCAUAAACACCUUCACAUCUUUUUUUGAGGUUCUAACUAAUUUCCUUGGAGCUUGGAGAAUUAGGAUUUUGCGGUUGCGAGGUAUGUAACUUUUUAAUGGGAUUUUUGAAAACAUAACCAUGUUUUAUAAAUAUUGUUUUUGGGUCAAACACAUUUUGGAAAAUGAUAUAUGGAUAUGUGCUUUCUUAAAAGUAUUGUGUUAUGACCCUAUUAUAUAUUAUUAUAUAUGAAAAAUGCAUCCUAUUUGGUAUUGCAUUUAGGGAAAUACAUGAAUUGUUGAUAUGGAAAAAUGAGCAUCUUUUAUUUAAUCUUUGAUAAGGAAAUUUUGGAUUUUAUGGUAUAUUAUAAAAUUUAAAGAUGUUUAUCUUGUCUUGUUACAUGGGAAAUUGAUAGAAAGUCUCUUGACAAGAAUGAAGUUGAAACCUUACAAACUUUGUGGAAGUUAGAUUAUUUAAGGUUUUUCUGAAAUUGCCUAGACAUAAACUAUGUACUUGAAAGUAAUGUAACCUGUAAACUUUAUGUGGUUUUAACACCAUACCAUGUGUGAUUUCCCGAUGAUCACCCAAUUUGGUUUUCGUAGUUCUUGUGACAACGGAAUCAAAUCUAGGUUAGUACCCUUUUACUUUGGAUGACACGUUCUUCUCUGCUGCCCAUGGGGGGAAGAGGUUCAUUGAUUGUGUGUGGGUGAGGCUGCUGUCCAUAGGGCCAAGAGACCACAUGCAAGAGAGUAGCUAUUUGACGCGCUCUCUUUGCUGCCCAUGGGGGGAGAGAAAAACCUUGAGGGUAUGGAUGAGGUUGCUAUCCAUGGGGCUAAGAGUCUGCAUACCAAAGAGGACAAUACCAUGUCAGUUGUGAAUGGGUGGAUCCCCUAACCGGUCUAUGUGGUAGUGUGGUAUAUUUGUGAUAAUUUAUCUUAUGUUAAAUAUUAUGAUUUUGGAAAUUAUAUUGUUAAUGCUUACAGAUUAUAGUAUAUAGUUUCAAGGUAUUUACUUUGAGAAACUUUGUAUUCAUUAUUAAAUCAUUCUUGUUAUAUUAUUGUUAUUGAAGAAGAAACUUGCAUUUCUCCACCCCCAUUAAUUAUGCUACUUACUAGGGUCUGUCUCAUUUCAUUAUUUUAUAAACCUUUCAAAGUAGGUAACAAUCUUUUGAGACAGCUUUUUGGUGGCUAAUAGUAGUUAGACUAACUAUUGAUGGAGACUAAACUUUUGUAAUGGAGAUAUUAGAUGUUGUAAAUCUUAGAAUAGGCUUGACUCAUUCUUUUGUAUAUUAUAGUGGUUGUGACUUUAUUCCCACUGAUGAGACAAGCUGUUGUUAUGUAAUUAUUUAUUCAAACCUCAAUUCUUUUGUAGCCAAUGGUCAUUGUAAUUAAUGCUUAAAGCUCUGACUUACCUUGAGAAUAUAUUUAAUUGAAUUAUUAUGAUAAUUCUUGA